UGUAGCGGUCGAAAAGCAAACAACAGAAACAAACAUCCUGUCGUUCGUCUGUAAACAACAACAAAAUAAGUAAAUAGAAGCUCGACGACGAAAAUUAAGCUAAAAGAGUUUAAAGAGGAUGAAACGAGUAUAUACUGGAGCGACUUUUCCAGCUACCGGGACCUGAGAGGAUUCAACCCCGACGACCGGCCUCUUUCAGCGGACAGGCUGCUGCGAUGACACAGUUUGCCCACAGUGAACCAUUACCUCACUGCUCCUCUCUAAUCCGGAGCCACUCCCACCCUGACGGAUUUCACAGCAUGUGCUGGAGUGUCCCUGGUCCCAGAGCUGGAUGCUUCAGAUGUGUGGUUGUUCUCCCGCCUCCAGCUGCCCAUUUCCACCGAUCUACUCUGCAUUGCCCUUACUAUACUUGAUUUGCUCAUCUACAUAUUUUUGAAUUUACCACCAGCUAUAUAUGUAGUAUAUUUAAUGCCAGAGCUGUACACCAUAGCAGUAAACUAUAAUUAGUUUCCAUGUUAGUUGUACUUUGCAUGUAUCAUCUGUCUUAUCAUGCAUGUAUUAUACUGUGUGUUUUAUGGUCCUUGUGUCCCCCCCACCUCUCUAUCUCUACCCCUCUAUCUGUAUCCCUCUAUCUCUACCUCUAUCCCUCUAUCUCUACCUCUAUCCCUCUAUCUCCAUCCCUCUACCUCUACCUCUCUACCUCUUCUGUCCCUCUCAACCCGCCCGGCCAGCAGGCAGAUGGGUCCCCCCACAUUAGAGCCGGGUUCUGCUCAAGGUUUUUUUCCCUGUUAAAAGGGUGUUUUCCUUGCCACUGUCUCCUUUUGGCUGCUCUGGGGUUCAGGUAUAUGGGUUCUGUAAAGCGUCUCGAGACAAUUUGACUAUAAUUGGCGCUAUAUAAAUAAAAUUGAAUUGAAUUGAAU